rnacentral:rRNA from 1 species
AGCAGCCGCGGUAAUUCCAGCUCCAAUAGCGUAUAUUAAAGUUGUUGCAGUUAAAAAGCUCGUAGUUGAAUUUCGGGAUCAAUUUGCAGGUCGUGCCUUCGGUACGCACUGGUAUUAUUGGUUUCUCCUUUCUGAUGAAUCGCGAUGUCAUUAAUUUGGUGUCGUGGGGAAUCAGGACCGUUACUUUGAAAAAUUAGAGUGUUUAAAGCAGGCUCACGCUUGAAUACAUUAGCAUGGAAUAAUGAAAUAGGACGUUUGAUUCUAUUUUGUUGGUUUCUAGGAUCGACGUAAUGAUUAAUAGGGAUAGUUGGGGGCAUUAGUAUUCAAUUGUCAGAGGUGAAAUUCUUGGAUUUAUUGAGGACUAACUACUGCGAAAGCAUUUGCCAAGGAUGUUUU